AUUGAACGCUGGCGGCAGGCCUAACACAUGCAAGUCGAGCGGUUGAAGGUCUCUUGCUCCUGGAUUCUGCGGCGGACGGGUGUGUUAUGCCUAGGAAUCUGCCUGCUUGUGGGGGAUCACGUCCGGAAACGGGCGCUUAUACCGCAUACGUUCUGAGUGAGAAAGUGGGGGUUCUUCGGUCCUCACGCUUUCAGCUGCGCCUAGGUCGGAUUAGCUUGUUGGUGGGGUAAAGGCCUAACAAGGCGACGAUCCGUCACUGGUCUGAGAGGAAGAACAGGCACACUGGAACUGAGACACGGACCAGACUCCUAAGGGAGGGAGCAGGGGGGAAAAUUGGAAAAAGGGGGAAAGGAUGAUACAAGCAAGGCGGGGGUGAGAAGAAGGUCUUCGGAGUGGAAAGCACUUUAAGUAGGGAAGAAGAGGAGUAAGGUAAAAACAUGGGGUAAAGACGGUAACAACAGAAAAAGCAACGGCUAACUUCGUG
rnacentral:rRNA from 1 species